ACUGAUCUGCACUUUAGUCAGAUCUGAUGAUUCCUUCUGAUGUAUGAACACAUCCAAGCAGUAAAAGGAUAAAUGCGGAUACAUCUUGUGUUCUGAUGCCAUGAUGGUCCUGCAGUGUCCAGGAACAAACAAGGGAGUUGCAGAGAGAAAGCUGUGUUAUCUCUCUCUGCUAUGCCAGAGAGAGAUAAGCCUCACAAAUAUGUACAGGGCCCCAGCAACUGAGAGAAGGUGUGAAGGAUAGGGAAGAGAAGACAAAAAGUCCUGGAGAGAACAGGGCCUUGCCUUUUCUCCCUGAGGCCCAAUGCUUCUACAGCACUGAGAGUGGUGAAAGUAAUAGCUGGUUUUGAUCUCACGACAGCUCAGGAGACAGGUGUCAGCCAAACAACACAGAGGAUUUCAUCAUUUUCCUUUUUGGGAAACUGAAGGAAGAUCACAUGCUGGGCAGGAAAGCAUGAAGAUUUGUUUGAUAAGAUUCCAUUAAAGUGAGCUGACAGCAAGGUUAG